rnacentral:rRNA from 1 species
ACGAUUGAAGCUGGAGCUUGCUCCGGCCGAUUUAGUGGCGGACGGGUGAGUAACGCGUGGGUAACCUGCCUCAUACAGGGGGAUAGCAGUUGGAAACGACUGGUAAAACCGCAUAAGCGCACGGUGUCGCAUGACACAGUGUGAAAACACUCCGGUGGUAUGAGAUGGACCCGCGUCUGAUUAGCUAGUUGGUGAGGUAACGGCCCACCAAGGCGACGAUCAGUAGCCGGCCUGAGAGGGUGAACGGCCACAUUGGGACUGAGACACGGCCCAAACUCCUACGGGAGGCAGCAGUGGGGAAUAUUGCACAAUGGGGGAAACCCUGAUGCAGCGACGCCGCGUGAGUGAUGAAGUAUUUCGGUAUGUAAAGCUCUAUCAGCAGGGAAGAUAAUGACGGUACCUGACUAAGAAGCACCGGCUAAAUACGUGCCAGCAGCCGCGGUAAUACGUAUGGUGCAAGCGUUAUCCGGAUUUACUGGGUGUAAAGGGUGCGUAGGUGGCAAGGCAAGUCUGAAGUGAAAAUCCGGGGCUCAACCCCGGAACUGCUUUGGAAACUGUUUAGCUGGAGUACAGGAGAGGUAAGUGGAAUUCCUAGUGUAGCGGUGAAAUGCGUAGAUAUUAGGAGGACACCAGUGGCGAAGGCGACUUACUGGACUGCUAC